AUUGAACGCUGGCGGCAGGCCUAACACAUGCAAGUCGAGCGGAUCGGCGGACGGGUGAGUAAUGCCUAGGACUCUGCCUGGUCGUGGGGGAUGACGUCCGGAACCGGGCGCUAAUACCGCAUCCUAUCAGAUGAGCCUAGGUCGGAUUAGAUAGUUGGUGGGGUAAAGGCCUACAAAGGCGACGAUCCGUAACUGGUCUGAGAGGAUGAUCAGUCACACUGGAACGGAGACACGGUCCAGACUCCUACGGGAGGCAGCAGUGGGGAAUAUUGGACAAUGGGCGAAAGCCUGAUGCAGCCAUGCCGAGUGUGUGAAGAAGGUCUUCGGAUUGUAAAGCACUUUAAGUUGGGAGGCGUUACCAACAGAAUAAGCACCGGCUAACUUCGUGCCAGCCGCCGCGGUAAUUC
rnacentral:rRNA from 1 species